rfam:Aedes albopictus isolate Foshan contig134911, whole genome shotgun sequence.
UGUUUUGUGGCUUAGUUGGUUAAAGCGCCGGUCUAGCUAAUACGGCGUCGUGGGUUCGAAUCCAACCAGAACGC